UUACAUGUUACUUCAUUCUUCUGUUCUUGUUCAGCUCUACUGUUCAGUUCUGUUCAUUCUGUUCCAUGUGUUCUUUCAGGAUAUUGGUGGCUCUUGGAUGUUCUGCAUCUUUUUUGUGUUUUUUUUUUAUAGUCAUCGAUCCAGUAGGACGUAUUCUCUUACUUUUUGCUUCCUGCCGGCCAUAUGUGCGAGCUCGUUUCUGUGUCAUGUCACCAAUACUUCCUCUGAAUCCAUCCGGAAGACCUAUCAUCAUGUACAGUAUACGGUUACACUGAUGUCACCUCUCGCUUUAAUAUCCAUAUGUCCUUCUACAUAGGACUUCAUUAGUGCAUCUGUAGCUGUCUGCGGUGGUCUUCUGCCUCUAUUGACACAUUCUGAUGACAUUCUGCGGUUAAUGACGCUGUCGUGACAAGACCUCAUAUUGCCGAGGUUGUAAUUUUAUAGCUGAACA
rnacentral:lncRNA from 1 species